rnacentral:rRNA from 1 species
GACGUAGGGCGCGAGCGUUGUCCGGAUUUAUUGGGCGUAAAGAGCUCGUAGGCGGUCUGUCGCGUCGAAUGUGAAAACCCGGGGCUCAACUCCGGGCUUGCAUUCGAUACGGGCAGGCUAGAGUUCGGUAGGGGAGUCUGGAAUUCCUGGUGUAGCGGUGAAAUGCGCAGAUAUCAGGAGGAACGACCGGUGGCGAAGGCGGGACUCUGGGCCGAUACUGACGCUGAGGAGCGAAAGCGUGGGGAGCGAACAGG